rnacentral:rRNA from 1 species
UACGGAGGGUGCAAGCGUUGUCCGGAUUUAUUGGGUUUAAAGGGUGCGUAGGCGGCCCGUUAAGUCAGUGGUGAAAUCCCCAGGGCUCAACCCUGGAACUGCCAUUGAUACUGACGGGCUUGAGUUCGGUUAAGGCGGGCGGAACUGGUGGUGUAGCGGUGAAAUGCAUAGAUACCACCAAGAACCCCGAUUGCGUAGGCAGCUCGCUGAGCCGAAACUGACGCUGAGGCACGAAAGCGUGGGGAGCGAACAGGG